rnacentral:rRNA from 1 species
UACGAAGGGUGCAAGCGUUGUUCGGAAUCAUUGGGCGUAAAGCGCGCGCAGGCGGAUCAGUAAGUCAGGUGUGAAAUCUCGAGGCUCAACCUCGAAACUGCGCCUGAAACUACUAGUCUAGAAUGUCGGAGGGGGUAGGGGAAUUUCACGUGUAGGGGUAAAAUCCGUAGAGAUGUGAAGGAACACCGGGGGCGAAGGCGCCUACCUGGACGACUAUUGACGCUGAGGCGCGAAAGCGUGGGGAGCAAACAGG